rnacentral:rRNA from 1 species
AAUAUUGUACAAUGGGCGAAAGCCUGAUCCAGCCAUGCCUCGUGUGUGAAGAAGGUCUUCUGAGAGUAAAGCAUUUUAAGUUGGGAGGAGAGGCAGGAAGUAAAUACCUAGCUGUUUUGACGUUACCGACUGAAUAAGCCCCGGCUAACGUCGUGCACGCAGGCGCGGUAAUACGAAGGGUGCAAGCGUUAAUCGGAAUUACUGGGGGUAAAGCGCGCGUAGGUGGUUUGUUAAGUUGGAAGUGAAAGCCCCGGGCUCAACCUGGGAACUGCUUUCAAAACUGGCAAGCUAGAGUAUGGCAGAGGGUGGUGGAAUUUCCUGUGUAGCGGUGAAAUGAGUAGAUAUAGGAAGGAACACCAGUGGCGAAGGCGACCACCUGGGCUAAUACUGACACUGAGGUGCGAAAGCGUGGGGAGCAAACA